UGCCAUCAUAUGCAGUGGGGAGACGCGAUGUCAUUCCUUCACCUUCAGGAAAUCCUCUUCGACCUGUUUCCUCCAUCAUGCUUACAUUCCUGAUUGGCCCUGUGACAAACCCGGCGACAUCCACUACAAUGACGUUUACAACCCCUGUCUUCACGGCGGAGAUUACAAUCCUGGUACAAGCACCUGCAAAUGUUUCGGUGGUUACAAGGGAGAUAUCUGUGGGCAAGUGAUUGAAGACUGUUCCGAUGGAAUGGCUUAUUACCACGGUCAGAAUGGCGAAUAUAUCAUUCAUCCUCAUC